GUGAAGACUGAGGACAGGCCUUUGGCCCAUGUGACUGCCACCUGCUGCUGAUGACACUGAGAGGGUAUGGCGGGAGUCUGGGCCUGUCUCCAGGGGCUGAGCCCUGAUCUGGGAGCUGAGGAAGGUGAUCGGGACCAUUCCCAGGCCAGGAUUAGGUCUGGCUAGCCUACACAGCAACAGGCUCCUCCUCCAUUCUGGAACCUUCCUGUGGUGCCAGCACCUGCAGAUCCGCAGUCACAGGUCUCCUAGUUCCAGGCUGGCCCCAGACCCCACCCUGAGAAGGAGGGAGUCUGUGACUGCCCACUGUACAGUGGCCUGUGCUCCUGUCCCAGCUCUGCCUCACUCUCACCAUGGCCGGUCAGUCACUUCACCUUCGAGUUCCUGGGUUUCCUCAUCUACAAGGAGGCCCAUGCAUUCUGGCAGCAUGCAGGAAAUUAUGGCAGGCUACUCUGUCAGCUUGCGAGUCAGGGGGGAAAAUCUCCCAGUGAGGAAGAAGACGGAUCUCCCAUCCUCUUGACUGGCAGGGGCUCCCAGAGGACUUGAGCACAGCAGGGAAGAGGUCUCUGAAUUUCAUGAUCAAAGAAUAUGAGGAAUUGCAUUCAUGUGGCUAUAAAGGUUGAGCUCAUUCCAAAUGCUUUCUCUCUCCCCUCUCUGACUCAGUCCAGACUCCCCACCAAAUCUGCUCUUUGGUGAUACUUAAUAAAGAUACAG